CAUUGCCGGCAGCAGUGGGGAAUAUUGCACAAUGGGGGAAACCCUGAUGCAGCGACGCCGCGUGAGCGAUGAAGUAUUUCGGUAUGUAAAGCUCUAUCAGCAGGGAAGAAAAUGACGGUACCUGACCAAGAAGCCCCGGCUAACUACGUGCCAGCAGCCGCGGUAAUACGUAGGGGGCAAGCGUUAUCCGGAUUUACUGGGUGUAAAGGGAGCGUAGACGGCCGUGCAAGUCUGAUGUGAAAACCCGGGGCUCAACCCCGGGACUGCAUUGGAAACUGCAUGGCUGGAGUGUCGGAGAGGCAAGG
rnacentral:rRNA from 1 species